CUCAGAAUACUAAACAGUAGCUACAGUCGUGAAGCAGAGCUCCCUAUGCAGCUACAUGAUACUUGAGAUGUACUCUUGAUUUCAGAAUAAUAACUAAGAGAUAAAGCAUUGGAGAAGGAUAAUGUAAAAGAAAGAGGUUUAGUUCAAAGUUUACGGUGUGAAUGAGGCUUUUAAAAUUGGUAUCUGAGUAAAUAGAUAUUAAAGAUACUAAAGAAGCACUCAUCAACAUGAUAUGGAAAGGAUGUCUGUCUAUCUAACAAGCUCGGUGAUUUCUGAGUCUGAGAAAGACACCCCCUUC
rnacentral:lncRNA from 1 species